UAAAUGUGUUUGGGAAAGUAAAAUAUUUGCUACAUUUGUACCCAACCUACCUGGGAGGAAGCAAUGAUAAUAGAAGUAUUUCAAAAUUCUAAUUUCAAUGUCAAAGUAGAAUCCUAAUACUUAAUGGAACGAGACUCAAGGAAAAAAAGUGUAUAUCGUCCCAAUGAAAUACCUGAAGUUCAAUUCUGUCAAUUGAUUGAGUAUUGGGAUGACGAAGAUGUCCAAGUAAGAUUAAACCGUGCAUUUCUACAUUUUCUACCUAUUGUUGCAGUAUAUAUUUUUUCCUUUUUAAUUUAUUAAUUAAUAUGCUUCUUUUGUUGUUAGUCUAUAUGCCAAUUAAAUUCUUAAAACAGGAAACAAAAAGUGAAGGCAUCGAAUGGGACUUAUUAAUUUUGCAAGAGUGCGUGUGGCAUUGGUAAUAUUUAGUCGACACUUUGUAAUCUGACUUUCAUUUCUUUUUAUACUUUAUCGGAACAUAAUGAUGUUUUUUAUAUCUUAUUUGAUGUAAUUUGUAGGGCGCAACCAAAGAGAACAACGAGGAAUCAUCAAAGUCUGAAAUGUUUAUUACAACUCGUACAAAGAAAGGGAAGGAAGUUCAUACAGAUACUCAAGUUGCAAUAGUAAGUCAUGCUGCAAGUUAAGUCUUGUUUGUAUUUUCUCUCUUUAACUGAAUGUGUUUAAGAGAAGUUUAACGAGAAGUUUAGCCAAGAACCAGUUUCUACACAUAAUCUCUACUUAGAAUGUAAGAACCUUCUGUUUUUUAGCAAGUUUUUAGGGCAUUAUGAAAGGAAGAACCCUUACUCUUUUUAUAUCAAUUUGACAUGAGUAUGUCAAGAAGAUUUUAUGUGAUAUAGUUGGAAACUUAUUUCCCUAAUGUCACGACUCGGAUUUUCCACCUUCGCAGUCGUGAUGACACCUACUAAUGUGAGCUCGACAAGCUAAUCCUUUAAACUAAAUAGGGAACCAAAGUCCAACUACUAACACAGAUAAGAAAACCAAAGGUAGAUUUUACUUUCACAUCUUG
rnacentral:lncRNA from 1 species